GAUCAUUACCGAGUUGAUUCGAGCUUCGGCUCGACUCUCCCACCCUCUGUGUACCUUACCUCUGUUGCUUUGGCGGGCCGCGGUCCUCCGCGGCUGGCCCCCCUCACCGGGGGCUGGCCAGCGCCCGCCAGAGGACUACAAAACUCCAGUCAGUAAACGUAUCAGUCUGAAAAACAAGUUAAUAAACUAAAACUUUCAACAACGGAUCUCUUGGUUCUGGCAUCGAUGAAGAACGCAGCGAAAUGCGAUAAGUAAUGUGAAUUGCAGAAUUCAGUGAAUCAUCGAAUCUUUGAACGCACAUUGCGCCCCUUGGUAUUCCGGGGGGCAUGCCUGUUCGAGCGUCAUUUCAACCCUCAAGCUCUGCUUGGUAUUGGGCUCCGUCCUCCUCGGACGCGCCUCAAAGACCUCGGCGGUGGCGUCUUGCCUCAAGCGUAGUAGAAAACACCUCGCUUUGGAGCGCACGGCGCCGCCCGCCGGACGAACCUUUGAAUUUUUUCUCAAGGUU
rnacentral:rRNA from 1 species